UACGAAGGGGGCUAGCGUUGCUCGGAAUUACUGGGCGUAAAGCGCACGUAGGCGGCUUUCUAAGUCGGGGGUGAAAUCCUGGAGCUCAACUCCAGAACUGCCUUCGAUACUGGAGAGCUCGAGUCCGGGAGAGGUGAGUGGAACUGCGAGUGUAGAGGUGAAAUUCGUAGAAUAUUCGCAAGAACACCAGUGGCGAAGGCGCUCACUGGCCCGGUACUGACGCUGAGGUGCGAAAGCCAGGGGAG
rnacentral:rRNA from 1 species